rnacentral:rRNA from 1 species
AUUGAACGCUGGCGGAAUGCUUUACACAUGCAAGUCGAACGGUAGAGGGGGCAACCCCUCGAGAGUGGCGAACGGGUGAGUAAUAUAUCGGAACGUGCCCAGUCGUGGGGGAUAACGUAGCGAAAGUUACGCUAAUACCGCAUACGAUCUAAGGAUGAAAGCGGGGGAUCGCAAGACCUCGCGCGAUUGGAGCGGCCGAUAUCAGAUUAGGUAGUUGGUGGGGUAAAGGCUCACCAAGCCAACGAUCUGUAGCUGGUCUGAGAGGACGACCGGCCACACUGGAACUGAGACCCGGUGCAGACUCCUACGGGAGGCAGCAGUGGGGAAUUUUGGACAAUGGACGCAAGUCUGAUCCAGCCAUUCCGCGUGCAGGAUGAAGGCCCUCGGGUUGUAAACUGCUUUUGUACGGAACGAAAAGGUCUCUCUUAAUACGGGGGGCUCAUGACGGUACCGUAAGAAUAAGCACCGGCUAACUACGUGCCAGCCGCCGCCGUAA